rnacentral:rRNA from 1 species
AUGCAGACCAUGGGAGUCAGUCCGCGAGAGAUAAGUUCCGCGGGCAAAAGGGGAACACCCCAGAUCAACCGCUAAGGUCCCCAAGUUCACGUUAAGUGGAGAAGGAUGUGGAAUUGCACAGACAACCAGGAUGUUGGCUCAGAAGCAGCCACACAUUUAAAGAGUGCGUAAUAGCUCACUGGUCGAGUGAUUGUGCGCCGAAGAUGUCCGGGGCUAAACGUGACACCGAAGCGAUGGGUGCAUCUGAAAGGAUGCGCGGUAGAGGAGCAAUGUGCAGAGGCAGAAGCCGUAUCGAGAGGCACGGUGGACACUGCACAAGAGAGAAUGCCGGUAUGAGUAGCGAGAGGCAUGCGAGAAACAUGCCCGUCGAAAGCCCAAGGUUUCCUGGGGAAGGUUCAUCCGCCCAGGGUAAGUCGGGGCCUAAGCCGAGGACGGAAGUCGUAGGCGAUGGACAGCAGGUGUAGAUUCCUGCACUACCGAUGGAAUGAAGCAGUGACACAGAAGGAUAACUCGAGCAGGGUGAUGGUCAACCCUGUGCAAGCAUCAAGGUUGGGUUGUAGUGAAGUACGCAAUCCUAUAAGCUGAGAUGUGAUGCGGACCGAAAUUUCAGUAGGGAAGCGAGUGAGUUCACGCUGGCGAGAAAAGCUGCUAGUACAUCCAAAGGUACCCGUACCGGAAACCGACGCAGGUGGGCGAGGAGAGAAUCCUGAGACGAACGGGAGAACCCUUGUUAAGGAACUCGGCAAAAUGACCCCGUAACUUCGGGAUAAGGGGUGCCUGCGAGAGCAGGCCGCAGAGAAUAGUCACAAGCGACUGUUUAGCAAAAACACAGGUAUCUGCGAAAGCGAGAGCUGACGUAUAGGUGCUGACACCUGCCCGGUGCUGGAAGGUUAAGGGAACAUGUUAGAGCAAUCGAAGCAUCGAACCGAAGCCCCAGUAAACGGCGGCCGUAACUAUAACGGUCCUAAGGUAGCGAAAUUCCUUGUCGGGUAAGUUCCGACCCGCACGAAUGGUGUAACGACUUGUGAGCUGUCUCAACAGGGGGCCCGGUGAAAUUGAAGUAUGGGUGAAGAUGCCCAUUACCCGCGACUGGACGGAAAGACCCCGUAGAGCUUUACUGCAGCCUGAUAUUGAGUUUCGGUAACUGAUGCACAGGAUAGGUGGGAGUCUGAGAGACAUGGGUUUCGGCUCAUGUGGAGACGAUGUUGGGAUACCACUCUUCGGUUACUGAAAUUCUAACAUAGCUCUGUGAAACCAGAGGAUGGACAGUGUCAGGUGGACAGUUUGACUGGGGCGGUCGCCUCCGAAAGAGUAACGGAGGCGCCCAAAGGUACCCUCAGAAUGGAUGGAAACCAUUCGAAGAGCGCAAAGGCAGAAGGGUGCCUGACUGCGAGAGUGACAACUCGAGCAGAGACGAAAGUCGGGCUUAGUGAUCCGGCGGUAUUGAGUGGAAAAGCCGUCGCUUAACGGAUAAAAGCUACCUCGGGGAUAACAGGCUGAUCUCCCCCAAGAGUCCACAUCGACGGGGAGGUUUGGCACCUCGAUGUCGGCUCGUCGCAUCCUGGGGCUG